UACGUAGGAGGCAAGCGUUGUCCGGAGUUACUGGGCGUAAAGCGCACGCAGGCGGUUCGGUCAGUCUGAAGGGACAGGGCACAGCUCAACUGUGUCAGGCUUACGGAAACUGCUGAACUUGAGGGCUUCAGAGGGAUGGGGAAUUCCGGGUGGAGUGGUGAAAUGCGUAGAGAUCCGGAAGAACACCAAAGGCGAAGGCACCAUCCUGGGGAGUCACUGACGCUCGGGUGCGAAAGCUAGGGGAGCGAACGGG
rnacentral:rRNA from 1 species